AACGCGAAGAACCUUACCUGGGCUAGAAUGUGAUUUGACCGAUCCUGAAAGGGGUCUUUGUAGCAAUACACAGAUUACAAGGUGCUGCAUGGUUGUCGUCAGCUCGUGCCGUGAGGUGUUGGGUUAAGUCCCGCAACGAGCGCAACCCCUAUCUUUAGUUGCCAGCGAGUAAUGUCGGGGACUCUAAAGAGACUGCCUGCGUAAGCAGAGAGGAAGGAGGGGAUGACGUCAAAUCAUCAUGGCCUUUAUGCCCAGGGCUACACACGUGCUACAAUGGCGUUUACAAAGGGCUGCCAACCAGCGAUGGUGAGCAAAUCCCACAAACAACGUCUCAGUUCGGAUUGAAGUCUGCAACUCGACUUCAUGAAGCUGGAAUCGCUAGUAAUCGUGGAUCAGCAACGCCACGGUGAAUACGUUCCCGGGCCUUGUACACACCGCGCAUA
rnacentral:rRNA from 1 species